rnacentral:rRNA from 1 species
UACGGAAGGCAGCAGUGGGGAAUAUUGCACAAUGGGCGCAAGCCUGAUGCAGCCAUGCCGCGUGUAUGAAAAAGGCCUUCGGGUUGUAAAGUACUUUCAGUCGUGAGGAAGGUGUUAAGGUUAAUAACCUUAGCAAUUGACGUUAGCGACAGAAGAAGCACCGGCUAACUCCGUGCCAGCAGCCGCGGUAAUACGGAGGGUGCGAGCGUUAAUCGGAAUUACUGGGCGUAAAGGGCACGCAGACGGUUAAUUAGUUGGAUGUGAAAUCCCCGGGCUUAACCUGGGAAUGGCAUUCAAGCUGGUUAGCUAGAGUCUUGUAGAGGGGGUAGAAUUCCAUGUGUAGCGGUGAAAUGCGUAGAGAUGUGGAGGAAUACCGGUGGCGAAGGCGGCCCCUGGACAAAGGCUGACGCUCAUGUGCGAAAGCGUGGGGAGCAAAC